rnacentral:rRNA from 1 species
GACGAACGCUGGCGGCGUGCCUAAUACAUGCAAGUAGAACGCUGAAGCGAGGAGCUUGCUCCUCUUGGCUGAGUUGCGAACGGGUGAGUAACGCGUAGGUAACCUGCCUUGUAGCGGGGGAUAACUAUUGGAAACGAUAGCUAAUACCGCAUAACAAUGGAUGACACAUGUCAUUUAUUUGAAAGGGGCAAUUGCUCCACUACAAGAUGGACCUGCGUUGUAUUAGCUAGUAGGUGAGGUAAUGGCUCACCUAGGCGACGAUACAUAGCCGACCUGAGAGGGUGAUCGGCCACACUGGGACUGAGACACGGCCCAGACUCCUACGGGAGGCAGCAGUAGGGAAUCUUCGGCAAUGGGGGCAACCCUGACCGAGCAACGCCGCGUGAGUGAAGAAGGUUUUCGGAUCGUAAAGUUCUGUUGUAAGUCAAGAACGGGUGUGAGAGUGGAAAGUUCACACUGUGACGGUAGCUUAACAGAAAGGGACGGCUAACUACGUG